UCAAGGCCAAAUUUCAUUUUUCUUUGAUGGCCACGCUUGUCCUUUGGGUUAUUGAGGUACUGUUAUAGUUUAAGAUAAAGUGUUAGUUCUUUUUCGUCGGCAUUCCUUCGUUUCAUUCCCUAUAUAUUUACGUUUCUUAAACCCUAAUUUCAUUCGUCAAAUUACAAACCAUAGCCGACAUCUAUACUUCCUAUUUCACUGAAAUCAUACGCUACAAACUCCUUCAAACUUUCUUGAAAAUCUCGCAUCAAAUUGUGAUUCGUCUUGUCUCAGCCGUAAUAGACUCGGUCCUUUACAAUCUCUAAGUUUUGGAAUUGAAGUCGACCCGUCGACUGCUCGUGCUUCGGAGUCUACGCAGGGUUAGCUGUUUGUCAAGAUCACGUGGAUAAGCAAGCUGUUUAUGAUUUGAAAGCUGGUCCACUCCGAUUCUUUUGAUUCUUCGGAGGUUUUUGUGUUAUUUAAACUAGUUACUGUUUUUGAACUCUUAGACCGCAGUAGAGCUAGUUAUUAUAUAUUAUAUUGAUAUUACACAUUGGGAUUAUCAAUUUGAUCGAUUAUUUAUUAUUAGCAUGUUUACUCUGGAUUAUUUUAAUAUUAUAUUUAAGGCAUGCUGUUGAGCAUUUUUGGAUAUUUAACUUAUUUAUAUUAGAACUGUAAUAUAAAUUGCUAGACUUAGGUUGGAGUCUCGGUUGCCCCCGAGCAGUUUUUUGUAGUUUUAAAUGUUUAAUUGUUUUCCGCAAGGCUUG